UACGUAGGGGGCAAGCGUUGUCCGGAAUUAUUGGGUGUAAAGCGCGCGCAGGCGGUUUUUUAAGUCUGGUGUAUAAACCUUGGGCUCAACUUAAGGAGGCGCUGGAAACUGGGGAACUGGAGUGUAGGAGAGGAAAGUGGAAUUCCACGUGUAGCGGUGAAAUGCGUAGAGAUGUGGAGGAACACCAGUGGCGAAGGCGACUUUCUGGCCUAUAACUGACGCUGAGGCGCGAAAGCGUGGGGAGCAAACAGG
rnacentral:rRNA from 1 species